CACAUGCAAGUCGAACGGAAAGGCUCCUGCUUGCAGGGGUACUCGAGUGGCGAACGGGUGAGUAACACGUGGGUGAUCUGCCCUGUACUUCGGGAUAAGCUUGGGAAACUGGGUCUAAUACCGGAUAGGACAACUUUUUGGAUAUUGUUGUGGAAAGCUUUUGCGGUAUGGGAUGAGCUCGCGGCCUAUCAGCUUGUUGGUGGGGUAAUGGCCUACCAAGGCGUCGACGGGUAGCCGGCCUGAGAGGGUGUACGGCCACAUUGGGACUGAGAUACGGCCCAGACUCCUACGGGAGGCAGCAGUGGGGAAUAUUGCACAAUGGGCGCAAGCCUGAUGCAGCGACGCCGCGUGGGGGAUGAAGGCCUUCGGGUUGUAAACUCCUUUCGCUAGGGACGAAGCAUUAUGUGACGGUACCUGGAGAAGAAGCACCGGCUAACUACGUGCCAGCAGCCGCGGUAAUACGUAGGGUGCGAGCGUUGUCCGGAAUUACUGGGCGUAAAGAGCUCGUAGGUGGUUUGUCGCGUCGUUUGUGUAAGUCCACAGCUUAACUGUGGGACUGCAGGCGAUACGGGCAUAACUUGAGUGCUGUAGGGGAGACUGGAAUUCCUGGUGUAGCGGUGGAAUGCGCAGAUAUCAGGAGGAACACCGAUGGCGAAGGCAGGUCUCUGGGCAGUAACUGACGCUGAGGAGCGAAAGCAUGGGUAGCGAACAGGAUUAGAUACCCU
rnacentral:rRNA from 1 species